AUGUUAGCGGCGGACGGGUGAGUAACACGUGGAUAACCUACCUAUAAGACUGGGAUAACUUCGGGAAACCGGAGCUAAUACCGGAUAAUAUUUUGAACCGCAUGGUUCAAAAGUGAAAGACGGUCUUGCUGUCACUUAUAGAUGGAUCCGCGCUGCAUUAGCUAGUUGGUAAGGUAACGGCUUACCAAGGCAACGAUGCAUAGCCGACCUGAGAGGGUGAUCGGCCACACUGGAACUGAGACACGGUCCAGACUCCUACGGGAGGCAGCAGUAGGGAAUCUUCCGCAAUGGGCGAAAGCCUGACGGAGCAACGCCGCGUGAGUGAUGAAGGUCUUCGGAUCGUAAAACUCUGUUAUUAGGGAAGAACAUAUGUGUAAGUAACUGUGCACAUCUUGACGGUACCUAAUCAGAAAGCCACGGCUAACUACGUGCCAGCAGCCGCGGUAAUACGUAGGUGGCAAGCGUUAUCCGGAAUUAUUGGGCGUAAAGCGCGCGUAGGCGGUUUUUUAAGUCUGAUGUGAAAGCCCACGGCUCAACCGUGGAGGGUCAUUGGAAACUGGAAAACUUGAGUGCAGAAGAGGAAAGUGGAAUUCCAUGUGUAGCGGUGAAAUGCGCAGAGAUAUGGAGGAACACCAGUGGCGAAGGCGACUUUCUGGUCUGUAACUGACGCUGAUGUGCGAAAGCGUGGGGAUCAAACAGGAUUAGAUACCCUGGUAGUCCACGCCGUAAACGAUGAGU
rnacentral:rRNA from 1 species